rnacentral:rRNA from 1 species
AGACCCGAAACCCGGUGAUCUAGCCAUGGGCAGGUUGAAGGUUGGGUAACACUAACUGGAGGACCGAACCGACUAAUGUUGAAAAAUUAGCGGAUGACCUGUGGCUGGGGGUGAAAGGCCAAUCAAACCGGGAGAUAGCUGGUUCUCCCCGAAAGCUAUUUAGGUAGCGCCUCGUGAACUCAUCUUCGGGGGUAGAGCACUGUUUCGGCUAGGGGGUCAUCCCGACUUACCAACCCGAUGCAAACUGCGAAUACCGGAGAAUGUUAUCACGGGAGACACACGGCGGGUGCUAACGUCCGUCGUGAAGAGGGAAACAACCCAGACCGCCAGCUAAGGUCCCAAAGUCAUGGUUAAGUGGGAAACGAUGUGGGAAGGCCCAGACAGCCAGGAUGUUGGCUUAGAAGCAGCCAUCAUUUAAAGAAAGCGUAAUAGCUCACUGGUCGAGUCGGCCUGCGCGGAAGAUGUAACGGGGCUAAACCAUGCACCGAAGCUGCGGCAGCGACACUCAGGUGUUGUUGGGUAGGGGAGCGUUCUGUAAGCCUGUGAAGGUGGCCUGUGAGGGUUGCUGGAGGUAUCAGAAGUGCGAAUGCUGACAUAAGUAACGAUAAAGCGGGUGAAAAGCCCGCUCGCCGGAAGACCAAGGGUUCCUGUCCAACGUUAAUCGGGGCAGGGUGAGUCGACCCCUAAGGCGAGGCCGAAAGGCGUAGUCGAUGGGAAACGGGUUAAUAUUCCCGUACUUGGUGUUACUGCGAAGGGGGGACGGAGAAGGCUAUGUUGGCCGGGCGACGGUUGUCCCGGUUUAAGCGUGUAGGUGUGUGUUCCAGGUAAAUCCGGUUCACUUUAACACUGAGGCGUGAUGACGAGGCACUACGGUGCUGAAGCAACAAAUGCCCUGCUUCCAGGAAAAGCCUCUAAGCAUCAGGUAACAUCAAAUCGUACCCCAAACCGACACAGGUGGUCAGGUAGAGAAUACCAAGGCGCUUGAGAGAACUCGGGUGAAGGAACUAGGCAAAAUGGUGCCGUAACUUCGGGAGAAGGCACGCUGACAC